CACUACUGUCUGACUACUGUCACACUCCCUAUGUAAUUACGGAGUGUGACAGUAGUCACUGGCUGACUUCUGACAAUCUUUCUUUUUCAUGACCCUCCUCAUGUUCUUUUAUACUUUCUUUUGAAUAAAGCAUGUCAAAGGGUUGGGAAAAAAUAUGCCCACAGGAACACAUAUCCAUAAUAUAUAUCCAAUAAUGUUUUUUUUCUGGUGGGUGAGGUGAGGUUUAUCAAAGGUAAUUAUGUACGCAGGUUUUAAUAUUUCUGUCUUCUUCUUUUUAUUACUCCUUGAUUUUUAAGUUCCACAGCAAUAUCAACUUCUACAUCAUCUAAUUCUCAGGUACGGAUUACUGCUUUACAGUAAUUAAGAGAAGGAUGAGGAAGAAUCUUAAUUUAAAGACCAGCCCAUAAAUUUGCAUGAGAAGUACUACAGAUAAAAGGAGU